GUGGAUGGCUCAGCAGCACAGCACAUGCUCAGCAUGCAUGAGGGCCUGGGUUCAAUUCCCAGUCAUUCACA
rnacentral:tRNA from 1 species